CUCCCUAAACACCCAUAUAACCACCAACCACUGUUUUUUCCAUGAUAUGAAACAGUUCAUUCAUCAAUUACCUAAUAAAGAAACUGUCAAUGAGGUCAUUAAUGGGACUGUUUCUACACAUUUGCCUAGCCGCACUUACAGUAUGUGGAUCGAAGGUUUCCCUCUCAGGCAGAUCAGAAUG